rnacentral:rRNA from 1 species
GCUAUACUGCAAGUCGUACGCUUCUUUUUCCCCGGAGCUUGCUCCACCGGAAAAAGAAGAGUGGCGAACGGGUGAGUAACACGUGGGUAACCUGCCCAUCAGAAGGGGAUAACACUUGGAAACAGGUGCUAAUACCGUAUAACAAUCGAAACCGCAUGGUUUUGAUUUGAAAGGCGCUUUCGGGUGUCGCUGAUGGAUGGACCCGCGGUGCAUUAGCUAGUUGGUGAGGUAACGGCUCACCAAGGCCACGAUGCAUAGCCGACCUGAGAGGGUGAUCGGCCACAUUGGGACUGAGACACGGCCCAAACUCCUACGGGAGGCAGCAGUAGGGAAUCUUCGGCAAUGGACGAAAGUCUGACCGAGCAACGCCGCGUGAGUGAAGAAGGUUUUCGGAUCGUAAAACUCUGUUGUUAGAGAAGAACAAGGAUGAGAGUAACUGUUCAUCCCUUGACGGUAUCUAACCAGAAAGCCACGGCUAACUACGUGCCAGCAGCCGCGGUAAUACGUAGGUGGCAAGCGUUGUCCGGAUUUAUUGGGCGUAAAGCGAGCGCAGGCGGUUUCUUAAGUCUGAUGUGAAAGCCCCCGGCUCAACCGGGGAGGGUCAUUGGAAACUGGGAGACUUGAGUGCAGAAGAGGAGAGUGGAAUUCCAUGUGUAGCGGUGAAAUGCGUAGAUAUAUGGAGGAACACCAGUGGCGAAGGCGGCUCUCUGGUCUGUAACUGACGCUGAGGCUCGAAAGCGUGGGGAGCAAACAGGAUUAGAUACCCUGGUAGUCCACGCCGUAAACGAUGAGUGCUAAGUGUUGGAGGGUUUCCGCCCUUCAGUGCUGCAGCUAACGCAUUAAGCACUCCGCCUGGGGAGUACGACCGCAAGGUUGAAACUCAAAGGAAUUGACCGGGGCCCGCACAAGCGGUGGAGCAUGUGGUUUAAUUCGAAGCAACGCGAAGUACCUUACCAAGUCUGACAUCCUUUGACCACUCUAAUAUAGAGCUUCCCCUUCG